rnacentral:rRNA from 1 species
AUGGCAUCUCUCCCUGUCCCGAGUGUGCAGGCCAUGGUGGCGGCCACCGGCGGAGCCGACGUGUCGCCAAGGUAUCUCCGGCCCGCAGAGGCGGUCGCUGGCGACGGCGAGGCCCAGAUCCCCGUCAUCGACUACCAGAGGCUGCUGCUGGAGCUGGAGCUGGACCGCUGUGGCGAGGAGUCUGCACGCCUUCACAGGGCCUGCCUGGACUGGGGCUUCUUCCAGCUGAUUAACCACAGCGUCCCAGACGAUGUGGUAGAGGGAAUGAAGGCCAGCAUCCAGCAGUUCUUUCAGUUACCCAUGGAGACGAAGAAACAGUUUGCUCAGGAGCGAGGGCAGCUGGAAGGCUACGGUCAACUAUUCGUCUUCUCGGAGGUUCAGAAGCUCGAUUGGGCUGACAUACUUUACCUCCACACGCAGCCACAUGAGAGCAGGAACACCAAGCUCUGGCCAGACCAGCCUGCCAACUUCAGAUAUUCUGGUGCUGUGAAGGAUGUAUCAGACUCCCUUUUGGCCAUGAUGGCGAAGAACUUGGGACUGGAAAGAGAAGUGAUCGCUGACAAAUGCAACCGUGGAUUACAGUCUGUCAGAAUGAACUACUACCCCCCAUGUGCCCAAGCAGAGAAAGUUGUCGGCUUAUCCCCGCAUUCUGAUGCUGGUCUCCUAACCCUUGUCCUCCAAGUGAAUCAUGUCCAGGGCCUACAGAUCAAGAGGAAUGGCAGCUGGCUUCCUGUCAAGCCCGUCUCGGGUGCUUUCAUCGUCAACAUCGGAGAUAUGUUUGAGGUCUUCACGAACGGGAGGUACAGGAGCAUCGAGCACCGAGCGAUCGUCGACCCGAAGGAAGAACGGCUGUCAGUCGCGGCGUUCCACUUACCAAACAUCCACGCCACGAUAGGUCCUCUGAAGGAGAUGGUGGCACAUGAAGAUGAUGCCUACAAGACGUUGGACCAAGAGAGCUUCAUGAAGCUUUUCUACGGGACGAAGCUUGAGGGGAAGAGCUUCUUGGAGCAGCUGAAACUAAACUAG